GGCCAGGUAGCUCAGUUGGUAGAGCAGCGGACUGAAAAUCCGCGUGUCGGCGGUUCGAUCCCGUCCCUGGCCACCA
rnacentral:tRNA from 3 species